UCCUAUCACACAGAAGGAGCAGGACCAUG
rnacentral:piRNA from 1 species